GGAAUAUUGCACAAUGGGCGAAAGCCUGAUGCAGCGACGCCGCGUGAGGGAUGACGGCCUUCGGGUUGUAAACCUCUUUCAGCAGGGACGAAGCGCAAGUGACGGUACCUGCAGAAGAAGCACCGGCUAACUACGUGCCAGCCGCCGCGGUAAUACGUAGGGUGCGAGCGUUGUCCGGAAUUAUUGGGCGUAAAGAGCUCGUAGGCGGUUUGUCGCGUCGGCCGUGAAAACUUGGGGCUUAACUCCAAGCUUGCGGUCGAUACGGGCAGACUUGAGUUCGGCAGGGGAGACUGGAAUUCCUGGUGUAGCGGUGAAAUGCGCAGAUAUCAGGAGGAACACCGGUGGCGAAGGCGGGUCUCUGGGCCGACACUGACGCUGAGGAGCGAAAGCGUGGGGAGCGAAC
rnacentral:rRNA from 1 species